rnacentral:rRNA from 1 species
UAACACGUAAACAACCUGCCUUCAGGAUGGGGACAACAGACGGAAACGACUGCUAAUACCGAAUAAGUUCCAAGAGCCGCAUGGCCCAUGGAAGAAAAGGUGGCCUCUACCUGUAAGCUAUCGCCUGAAGAGGGGUUUGCGUCUGAUUAGCUGGUUGGAGGGGUAACGGCCCACCAAGGCGACGAUCAGUAGCCGGUCUGAGAGGAUGAACGGCCACAUUGGGACUGAGACACGGCCCAGACUCCUACGGGAGGCAGCAUG